rnacentral:rRNA from 1 species
GGUCAAGUGAAGAAGCGCAUACGGUGGAUGCCUUGGCAGUCAGAGGCGAUGAAAGACGUGGUAGCCUGCGAAAAGCUUCGGGGAGUCGGCAAACAGACUGUGAUCCGGAGAUGUCUGAAUGGGGGAACCCAGCCAUCAUAAGAUGGUUAUCUUGUACUGAAUACAUAGGUGCAAGAGGCGAACCAGGGGAACUGAAACAUCUAAGUACCCUGAGGAAAAGAAAUCAACCGAGAUUCCCUUAGUAGUGGCGAGCGAACGGGGACCAGCCCUUAAGUUGUAUUGAGAUUAGCGGAACGUUCUGGAAAGGACGGCCAUAGUGGGUGAUAGCCCUGUACGCGAAAAUCCCUUUGCAAUGAAAUCGAGUAGGACGGGGCACGAGAAACCUUGUCUGAAUAUGGGGGGACCAUCCUCCAAGGCUAAAUACUACUGACUGACCGAUAGUGAACCAGUACCGUGAGGGAAAGGCGAAAAGAACCGCGGAGAGCGGAGUGAAAUAGAUCCUGAAACCGUAUGCGUACAAGCAGUGGGAGCCCACUUGUUGGGUGACUGCGUACCUUUUGUAUAAUGGGUCAGCGACUUAUUUUCAGUGGCGAGCUUAACCGAAUAGGGGAGGCGUAGCGAAAGCGAGUCUUAAUAGGGCGUCUAGUCGCUGGGAAUAGACCCGAAACCGGGCGAUCUAUCCAUGGGCAGGUUGAAGGUUGGGUAACACUAACUGGAGGACCGAACCGACUACCGUUGAAAAGUUAGCGGAUGACCUGUGGAUCGGAGUGAAAGGCUAAUCAAGCUCGGAGAUAGCUGGUUCUCCUCGAAAGCUAUUUAGGUAGCGCCUCAUGUAUCACUGUAGGGGGUAGAGCACUGUUUCGGCUAGGGGGUCAUCCCGACUUACCAAACCGAUGCAAACUCCGAAUACCUACAAGUGCCGAGCAUGGGAGACACACGGCGGGUGCUAACGUCCGUCGUGAAAAGGGAAACAACCCAGACCGUCAGCUAAGGUCCCAAAGUCAUGGUUAAGUGGGAAACGAUGUGGGAAGGCUUAGACAGCUAGGAGGUUGGCUUAGAAGCAGCCACCCUUUAAAGAAAGCGUAAUAGCUCACUAGUCGAGUCGGCCUGCGCGGAAGAUGUAACGGGGCUCAAACCAUGCACCGAAGCUACGGGUAUCAUCUUAGGAUGAUGCGGUAGAGGAGCGUUCUGUAAGCCUGUGAAGGUGAGUUGAGAAGCUUGCUGGAGGUAUCAGAAGUGCGAAUGCUGACAUGAGUAACGACAAUGGGUGUGAAAAACACCCACGCCGAAAGACCAAGGUUUCCUGCGCAACGUUAAUCGACGCAGGGUUAGUCGGUCCCUAAGGCGAGGCUGAAAAGCGUAGUCGAUGGAAAACAGGUUAAUAUUCCUGUACUUCUGGUUAUUGCGAUGGAGGGACGGAGAAGGCUAGGCCAGCCUGGCGUUGGUUGUCCAGGUUUAAGGUGGUAGGCUGAGAUCUUAGGUAAAUCCGGGAUCUUAAGGCCGAGAGCUGAUGACGAGUGUUCUUUUAGAACACGAAGUGGUUGAUGCCAUGCUUCCAAGAAAAGCUUCUAAGCUUCAGGUAACCAGGAACCGUACCCCAAACCGACACAGGUGGUUGGGUAGAGAAUACCAAGGCGCUUGAGAGAACUCGGGUGAAGGAACUAGGCAAAAUGGCACCGUAACUUCGGGAGAAGGUGCGCCGGUGGAGGUGAAGCAUUUACUGCGUAAGCCCCUGCCGGUCGAAGAUACCAGGCCGCUGCGACUGUUUAUUAAAAACACAGCACUCUGCAAACACGAAAGUGGACGUAUAGGGUGUGACGCCUGCCCGGUGCCGGAAGGUUAAUUGAUGGGGUUAGCGCAAGCGAAGCUCUUGAUCGAAGCCCCGGUAAACGGCGGCCGUAACUAUAACGGUCCUAAGGUAGCGAAAUUCCUUGUCGGGUAAGUUCCGACCUGCACGAAUGGCGUAACGAUGGCGGCGCUGUCUCCACCCGAGACUCAGUGAAAUUGAAAUCGCUGUGAAGAUGCAGUGUAUCCGCGGCUAGACGGAAAGACCCCGUGAACCUUUACUAUAGCUUUGCACUGGACUUUGAAUUUGCUUGUGUAGGAUAGGUGGGAGGCUUUGAAGCGUGGACGCCAGUCUGCGUGGAGCCAACCUUGAAAUACCACCCUGGCAACUUUGAGGUUCUAACUCAGGUCCGUUAUCCGGAUCGAGGACAGUGUAUGGUGGGUAGUUUGACUGGGGCGGUCUCCUCCUAAAGAGUAACGGAGGAGUACGAAGGUGCGCUCAGACCGGUCGGAAAUCGGUCGUAGAGUAUAAAGGCAAAAGCGCGCUUGACUGCGAGACAGACACGUCGAGCAGGUACGAAAGUAGGUCUUAGUGAUCCGGUGGUUCUGUAUGGAAGGGCCAUCGCUCAACGGAUAAAAGGUACUCCGGGGAUAACAGGCUGAUACCGCCCAAGAGUUCAUAUCGACGGCGGUGUUUGGCACCUCGAUGUCGGCUCAUCACAUCCUGGGGCUGAAGCCGGUCCCAAGGGUAUGGCUGUUCGCCAUUUAAAGUGGUACGCGAGCUGGGUUUAGAACGUCGUGAGACAGUUCGGUCCCUAUCUGCCGUGGACGUUUGAGAUUUGAGAGGGGCUGCUCCUAGUACGAGAGGACCGGAGUGGACGAACCUCUGGUGUUCCGGUUGUCACGCCAGUGGCAUUGCCGGGUAGCUAUGUUCGGAAAAGAUAACCGCUGAAAGCAUCUAAGCGGGAAACUUGCCUCAAGAUGAGAUCUCACUGGAACCUUGAGUUCCCUAAAGGGCCGUCGAAGACUACGACGUUGAUAGGUUGGGUGUGUAAGCGCUGUGAGGCGUUGAGCUAACCAAUACUAAUUGCCCGUGAGGCUUGACCAU